ACAACCCCAAUUUCCCUCUUGCUGAUCUUCUCACAACCCACACGCUACCACUACCCUCUUCUCACAACUCACCCAUCCGAAUGUCGUCGAAUCUGCUACCAUCCGAACGUCAUCGAACCUGCUACCCUUCGAAUGCUGUCGAACGCUGUUGCUACUUGCUAAGUACCAUCCGAAUGUUGUCAAAGGUCGCCGCUACCAUCCGAACGCUGCCGCUCCCUUGCUCGCCGAAUGUCGUAACUGAGCAAGUGCUCGAUUCGAACUGAGUAACUAUCGAACGUUGUCGGUUUUGAUGUGUAAGGCAUAAAAAUAUCUUUAUCAUCUUUAUCAUCUAUUUCCAGUUAUAUGUAUUGCAAUAUCCUCUCAGACCACGUUGGAGGCCCUUUGAAUUUGAGGGGCGAUGUGAUGAGGUGAGCAUUUUUUUUAAUUCCUUAUCAUUCUGAAAGAAUUUGAACUGUACUCUUUUAGUUUCAACAGGUAAGAGUUAAACCUAGCACUGUAGAAGUGGAAAUCGACCUGAAUGUUGAUAUUGAAUCCAAUAACUAUGACAGCAAACCUGAUUGCACAUUCCAUAUGAAGAAGCAUACUUUGACAUCUUCAUGACAACCGCCUCUAGCUACGUCAUAUGCUAUUGGGCUGCUUAUGCAACAUAAGGUUCAAGGGCUAAAUUGUUACAACACUACAAGAGACGAGGGUACUCCCGACGCACAAAAACAUCGAAAAAAGUGAAAAAAACAUCAGGAAAUGAUAUGCCGAUGUUUUUCACGACGUCGGGAAUAACGUUGGAAGAAAUGAAUUGGGAGAGGCAUUCCCGUCGUACCAACACGAUGUCAAGAAUGCAUCUCUCGAUACCGUGACAUGCGUCGGCCAAAGUGGCGUUGGGAGUUCCUUUCCCAACAGACCUUAUGUCGAUGCAUGACGCAGCGUUGGGAAUGCUUUUUUCGACGUCUUUUGUGCAUCGAGAAACUCUUCUCCGACGUGUCUAAUGCAUCCUAGUCCCGACGUUUCAUUGCGUCGAGAAUUCAUUUUUAUAUUUUUUUUAAACAUGUAAUUUCUAAUUUUUUUUCCUAAAAUAUUGUCCUCAAACAUUCACAACCACAUUCGGAUUGCUCAAAUAUUUUUCCCGACGUUUUGGAUUAAAUUAAGACAAAUUCAAUAUAAAUUAAUAAAUUAAGAAAUACAAACACAAAUUAAAAAAAGAUGUUUUAAAGUUAAUAAUACGAAUAAGUUCAAAAAAUAUUAGUAAGUUUAAUACAAAAAACGUAGUCCUCAUAAUACAAAAAGACGCAAACAUAAUAAAAAAGUCUCCUGACGAGGCGCGUACGCGUCAUUCUACACCUUCGGUCCUACAAUGAUAUAAAAGUAACUAAGUUUAGUACAUAUAUCCAUAUGUUCACUGUAUACCAUCAUUGCAAAAAUUUAAGAAUAAUGAAGACAUAUAUACGUACCACAAAGCUAGAGAUCAUGUGGUCGUCCCUGUUGUGCAUGAGUGAAGUCUUCUAUCAGCUUUUGCAUUCGUUCAACUUGUGAAGCUAACGCUUGGUAAUUUCUAUCUUGUACUUCAAUCCAUUCCAAAACUUCAUUAAGUUUAGCUUGUAAUUCAAUCUCUUUUUGUGUGGAUUGUGAACAAGAUGUCGAGGAACUGUUCGCACUCGUCGUCCUGCGGGCCUUCGGCUUGGGUCUCCAACCAAGGCCUUUUGAGUAGCCUGAUCGUCUACCUAACACCUGAUUGCAUAUCUCAUCCUCAGAGAGUGGCUGACUACCCUAGGGUAGGCUGGGAUUGGAGUUCCAGCAUUUGAUUCUGCAACAAAUUUAAGAACUAUGUUAGGUAACGCGCAAAAAUAUAUAAUGAAAGAGAAUAAUUAACAAGGGCAUAACUUACAUGUGCAUCCUCUGCGGCCUGCGACACGAACGUCCCAGGUCGAACGUGUGUUUCUUUGAACAAUUCCACACGAUCGACCGACUCUCCUUUUCUCUCAAUGAGCUCGUACUGUCGUUGUAGAAACGACUUAGACCCGCUACUAUGACUAUAAGGUUGCUUCUGUCUAGUAGUCUUGUUCGUCCGUGAUUGCUCAUGCAUGAAAACAAUUAUAUUGUCUAUUUCUUAUACAUAUUAAAACUUGAAAUCAUAACUAACUUCAAACUACGGACGCUACCAUAACUGUAGGAUAGUCAACACAAUCUAACUAUUAACAACAAAAUACUUCAAGCUAUCCUACUACCACCCCUUGAAACCAUCCCAAAUAGAAGCAAAUUCAAAACAAAAAAUGCUAACUGCAGGAUAGCCAUCUCAAAUCAACAACAAAGAUAUUCAACACAAACAGGCUACAAUAACUGCAGGAUAGCUAAAACAAAUCUUAACACACAUAUUAUAUUUUCAAUUGAAAACAUAAACCCCCUUCAAAUUAAAUGCAAUACCCCCCCCCCCCCCCACACACACACAUUCAAAUUUGAAUUCAACCAUAACCCCCUACAAAAAUUUCAAUUUAGGUAGUAACCCCCCAUUCAAAUUUCAAUUUAGCUAAUAAAUCACCCCUUCAAAUUUCAAUUUAAGUAUAACCCCCUUCAAAUUUCAAUUUAACUAUAACCCCCCUCCUCCAAUUCAAUUUUCAAUUUAACUAUAAACCAUAAACCCUAAAUCCUUCAAAUUUCAAUUUAACUAUAAACUCCCCCCCUCCCCCAAUUGAAUUUUCAAUUUAACCAUAAAUCCUAAAUCCUAAAUCCUUCAAAUUUCAAUUCAACCACAAAUUACACACAUUCUAUACAAAAAUACAUUUAACAAACAAAAAUCUAUUCAAAAACAAAAUCCUAAAACAAUUUUCUUAAAAAAAAAAUCCUAAAACUUAUAUUUAAACUAAACAAACUUUAUAUUUAAACUUACCUAAGGUGGCAGACGAUGAGGGAUGGCAACGACGACGGAACGGACGACGACGAGCUACAGACCGCGACGAAUCUUCGUUUCUCUCUUCUCCCUUUCCCUUUCGUUUUCAGUUAUGUGUAAAACAAAACUGAAACGUUUAUAAAGGGGAUCUCCCGAUGCAGCACAAAUACGUCGGGAGAUCCCCUUUAUGGCGUUGGGAAUAAGGGUAUUCCUGACACUCAUUAAAAGGUUUUCCCAACGCACAAUAAUGUGUCGGGAAAACCCCUUAUUUUCGAUGUCGUUCUUGACGCACUGUGCAUUACUUCGGAAAUAAGGUGUAUUUUAAAUUUAAUUUGGCCUUAUUCCCGACGCCGUUUGGCCGACGCAUGCUCGAAGCAUCGCGAAUACCCUUUUCCCAAUGCCAUUCCCGACGCCACAGUUUUCUCCGAUGCAGUUUUCAUAACGCGUCUGUCCGGCGUUGGGAAUAACCUUAUUUUCGACGUUCUUUGUGUCGAUGUCCUUUUAGGCGUCGGAAAAGCCCCUAUUUCUUGUAGUGCAAGUAUUGUAACUAUCUUUAUCCUUACUGACUAAAGGUUAGAUAAUAAUUUUUUACUUCUGUAGAAGCUUAAGACUAUACCCAGAGCUAUUUUCUCUUGGGAGUGCCCUUGCAACCAACGCCAAUAACAAGAAUGCAAUAGAAAGGGCGUGGAUUUGGUAAAAGUAGAAUUAGGUUUCAUAAAACUUGACUACUAAACCACUUGUAGGAGCAUCAAGAAGACGACGAUGAGGGAGGACGAGGAAGAGGAUGAGGAAGAUGACUAAAUUGAAAACCAAGUUGUUUGUAUCGACCAAUCCAGCUUGGUAGAGGGAGGAAGGUGACAUAUGUUCAUCGUUUAUCAAAAUAUAAGAGGAUGAGGAGGAUGACUAAUUGAAAGACAAGUUUAAAAAAUAUACCAAUCAACCCCUCACCCUUCAUAUACCAAGAAUGCAAUAUACAAUUCCAUGCUGAUUUUGAUAAAUGGAGAUUAGUGUUGUUAAGAAAAGGGAUGAAAUGGAAGCUUUUGUUACUAUGUUUCCUUAUUUUCUUUAUUUGUUUUCUUGGAGGAAAUUUAUGAUGGGGGCUUGAAGAAACCUAAUGUUGUGUAGAAAUUUAUUUUAAUGCAUGUACAAUAUUCUAAAAUAUGUGCAAUCUUAUCUUUGCAAAAUAGAGCAAUAGCGAUGUUUCACUCGCAAAAGAAUAUUAAUAAAAGUAGGAAACGAACUUUAUGGCGAACAGUAAAAGCAAGUAUAAAUAUUUAAAUUAAUUGUAUUUUGUAGACUACUAGCAAUUAGGAUUAGUAUGUUAUCCUAAUUUGUUGUUGUAUAGUGUCCACUACAAGUCGGGAGCACUGAGUGUAGAUACUAUGUCAUGAAGUUUAUGAGAGAAAUUGUAAAUAGGGGAAGCAUUGUCAUCUCGGAUUCGGUAUGUUAUAUAUCAAACUAUUUCUUUCGUGGGUAUAAUAAUCUUCAUGAAUACUAAUUCAUUUAUUUUGCAUGUUUACAGAUUGAUACACGAAAACCGUACUCACAUGCCGAGUUAGAUGAGGUGUAGGUUGAGUUGGCUGAUUUUUGGGUUCGUACACAUGAUUGCGACUUAUUUGGGAUUUUGAAGCAAGAAACUUUCUGUUGUGACUGAUUUUUUUAAUUGUUCAUAUGGAGGGUGAGGGGUUGAUUGAUAUAUUUUUGAAACCUUAUGUUGUGGUCACCAUUUUGAAACUUUGUUGAUAGGUUAUUUGUUUAUAGGUGAAUUGUUCAUAUAGAGGGGGAUGAUAGGGAAAUUAUUCUGAAACUUUGUUGUUGUAGCCAUUCUGAAACUCUGAUGGAAUUGUAUAUUGGUUUUGUAAAUAAUAGGAAUAUUUGCAAAGCUUUGGAAAUGAUAUGGUAAAAGGUUUUAUAUUUGAUGAA